rnacentral:snRNA from 1 species
GUGCUCGCUUGGGCAGCACAUAUACUAAAACUGGAACGAUACAGAGAAGAUUAGCAUGGCCCCUGUGCAAGGAUGACAUGCAAAUUCGUGAAGCGGUCCAUAUUUUU